GUCCCUGUAGUGCAAUGGAUAGCAAUUUGGACUUUGAAUCCAAAGAUCCUUCGAAUUCCACCUGGGAUG